GCGCCUGUAGCUCAAUAGGACAGAGCAUCGGCCUUCUAAGCCGAGGGUUCCGCGUUCGAGUCGCGGCAGGCGUA
rnacentral:tRNA from 1 species